AACGAACGCUGGCGGCGUGCCUAACACAUGCAAGUCGAACGAAACGUCCGGGUCUUUUGGCGCACGGGGGCGUACCGCGUGGGGAGCUGCACUUAGGUACGGCAUACCUCCCCGAAAGGGGUGCUAAUACCGGAUAGUGUCUUCGGACCAAAGAUUUAUCGCCUUUGGAUGGGCCCGCGUUGGAUUCGGUGGUUGGUAGGGUACAAGCCUACCAAGGCGAGGAUCCAUAGCUGGUCUGUGAGGAUGCUUUGCCACACUGGCGCUGCGACACGGCCGCGAAUCCUACGCAAGGGAGGAGUGGAUAACAUAGGACGAUGGGCGCAGGCCUGAUCAAGCCACGCCCGGUGAGUGAUGAUGGCCUUAGGGUUCUAAUGCUCUUUUACCCGGGAUGAUAGUGACGGUACCGGGAGAAUAAGCACCGGCUAACUCCGUG
rnacentral:rRNA from 1 species